rnacentral:rRNA from 1 species
GACGAACGCUGGCGGCGUGCUUAACACAUGCAAGUCGAACGGUGAAGCGCCUUCCUUUUUGGUGGGUGUGGAUGAGUGGCGAACGGGUGAGUAACACGUGAGUAACCUGCCCCCUUCUUCUGGAUAACCGCAUGAAAGUGUGGCUAAUACGGGAUAUUCUGAGUCUGUCGCAUGAUGGGUCUGGGAAAGAUAUUGUUUCGGUGGGGGAUGGGCUCGCGGCCUAUCAGCUUGUUGGUGGGGUGAUGGCCUACCAAGGCGGUGACGGGUAGCCGGCCUGAGAGGGUGGACGGUCACACUGGGACUGAGACACGGCCCAGACUCCUACGGGAGGCAGCAGUGGGGAAUAUUGCACAAUGGGCGCAAGCCUGAUGCAGCGACCCCGCGUGAGGGAUGGAGGCCUUCGGGUUGUGAACCUCUUUCGCCAGUGAAGCAGGCCUGCCUCGUUUGUGGGUGGGUUGACGGUAGCUGGAUAAGAAGCGCCGGCUAACUACGUG